rnacentral:rRNA from 1 species
GCAUGGUUGUCGUCAGCUCGUGUCGUGAGAUGUUGGGUUAAGUCCCGCAACGAGCGCAACCCUCGUUCUGUGUUGCCAGCGGGUUAUGCCGGGGACUCACAGGAGACUGCCGGGGUCAACUCGGAGGAAGGUGGGGACGACGUCAAAUCAUCAUGCCCCUUAUGUCUUGGGCUGCACACGUGCUACAAUGGCCGGUACAAUGAGCUGCGAUACCGCGAGGUGGAGCGAAUCUCAAAAAAGCCGGUCUCAGUUCGGAUUGGGGUCUGCAACUCGACCCAUGAAGUCGGAGUUGCUAGUAAUCGCAGAUCAGCAUUGCUGCGGUGAAUACGUUCCCGGGCCUUGUACACACCGCCCGUCACGUCACGAAAGUCGGUAACACCCGAAGCCGGUGGCCCAACCCCUUGUGGGAGGGAGCUGUCGAAGGUGGGACCAGCGAUUGGGACGAAGUCGUAACAAGGUAGCCGUACCGGAAGGUGCGGCUGGAUCACCUCCUUUCU